GGGACGGGUGAGUAAUGUCUGGGAAACGUGCCUGAUGGAGGGGGAUAACUACUGGAAACGGUAGCUAAUACCGCAUAACGUCGCAAGACCAAAGAGGGGGACCGUUCGGGCCUCUUGCCAUCGGAUGUGCCCAGAUGGGAUUAGCUAGUAGGUGGGGUAACGGCUCACCUAGGCGACGAUCCCUAGCUGGUCUGAGAGGAUGACCAGCCACACUGGAACUGAGACACGGUCCAG
rnacentral:rRNA from 1 species